UUUUUUUUUGUAAAAGUUGAUUUUUUUACCUAAGUAUUAUGAAUGUAAUUAAAGAUGUUUUAUAUUAUAAAAUUAUAUUGAUUUAUGUUUAAAACUUAAAAGGUUUGGCGGUUUUACAUAUCCAGUUAGGGGAGUUUGUUAAUUUGUUUGAUAAUCCUCAUUUUAAACUUACUUUUUUUUGAUAUAUAAGUUAUACAGUUUAUAUAUUGCUGUCGUCAGUUUAUCUUUUGAGAAAAAAAGAACUAUGAAAUUUUUAGAUUGUUAUGUCAAGUCAUAAUGUAGCUAAUGAAAAAGGUUUAAUGAACUACUAUAAAUAAUAUUUUUUAAUGUCCGGAUAAUAGAAAUUAAAUUUUGUUAAAAAGGUGGACUUAAUAGUAAAAUUAUAAUUAGUAUGUAAAUUUGAAUAAGGUUUUGUAAAAUG
rnacentral:rRNA from 1 species